CCUCAGAGGUGGGAUUAUUACUUUCCUACUGGCAUGGGUGAAGUCAUGGAAAUGUUUAUUUCUGUAACUUUUUGCUUGCCUUCUUUCCUCUUUCAGAUAACAGGACAGCCGACUUAUCAGCAUAAAAAAUAUUUCUGUCAGCAUCCAGAGACCAUGGAGUAAAUAAAGAAUUACAUUUGGAGGACUUAGAAGCAGGGAUGGCUAUAAUGGCUGGCUGCCUCUGGAAACAAGAAAUCAUGAAUUUUUUUCCUGGACCUGUGGUCAUUUUGAAGUGAGUCUAGACACAGACCCUCUCUUAGUACCUUGAUGAAUUAUUCCUGAAGAAAAGAGAAGAUACAA
rnacentral:lncRNA from 1 species